rnacentral:lncRNA from 1 species
GAGGGGAGAUCCGAGACCACGAGUGGCGGCUUAGUACAGGGUCACCUAGCCCCUCAGGUCUUCCAACUCCUCAAUUCUCAGCCCCCUUCGAAGCUGUAGUUCCGGGUUGGGACAGGAUCCUGGACCAAGAAGGGAAAGGAAAACAAAACGCAGCAUCACACACCAUCACCACACAAGAACCUCUGAGAUGCUCUUUCCUUAUUGCAUUAACCAGCUAUCGACCUGGUUGUGUCCAAUUGCGAUUGCGGACUGAGAGAAAGAACACCGGAAGAGCCAGGCUGUUCUCAGGAAGGACUCACGCCGACCAGGGGGGCCGCCCCUGGCCCAGAGGGUGAACCUCUAGACCCAGGCAUGAACCUAAGAACCUCGCUUAAUUAGAUCCCUCCAGGCAUCCCAGGCCUAGGGUAGAAACAGCUAUCGGUUACCCUGUGACCAACUGGGAAGAGCUUUGGUCUGAAAUCCGCACUCCACGCCGGGACCCAGUAUCCCAAGCGACUGGAGUCACUGCAUGGCUCUGAUUCGUCAACAAGACCAGGCCACGCACAAAACGCUCGCCGCGGACACUCUGUGGUCUGGGCUCAGGGCACCAGGAGCAUACAGAAAAGGUGUACGCCGAGGACACGUGGCGCGUUGGAGGACAACUACAAGCGGUGCCCGAUGCCAGAGGCCCACCAGCUUCGGGGUCGGACACUCCGAACCAGCAGCCCCCAUCUUUUCCCCUUCCCUGGUCCAGCUCCCAGAGGUGCCUGUGUCCCCCGUCGUUGGGAGCCUCUGUAGCCUUGUGUCUCCCAGCCCGGACAGAGUUCAGUCCUUUCCUCCCAAGGCUCAGAGUCCCCCAGAGGCGGUGCGGGCUGGCUAUCCUUCAGCUUCCUGCAGAGGCUGCUGAGUACGCUGCCCCCCCCCCCCCCAGCUGGGGUUACAGGUUAAUGAAACGCUCGUUUUCCUCAGUCAUUUGUUUUGUUUUCCUGCAAAGUUCUGAUAAGUAGCUAACCAACGAAGCUUGUAAUUACAAUCUUACAGAAACCGGGCCGAUCUGUAUAUAAAUCUCACCAUCCAAUUACAAGAUGUAAUAAUUUUGCACUCAAGCUGGUAAUGAGGUCUAAUACUCGCGCAUGCGAUAAUCCCCUCUGGAUGCUGGCUUGAUCAGAUGUUGGCUUUGUAAUUAGACGGGCAGAAAAUCAUUAUUUCAUGUUCAAAUAGAAAAUGAGGUUGGUGGGAAGUUAAUUUCUCUCCGCUCUGUGAAGCGUAGACAAGAAUUUAAUGAUUUAAUUACAGUUGUAAGCCCUUUCCAUGA